AAGACCCCGUGAACCUUUACUAUAGCUUGACACUGAACAUUGAGCCUUGAUGUGUAGGAUAGGUGGGAGGCUUUGAAGUGUGGACGCCAGUCUGCAUGGAGCCGACCUUGAAAUACCACCCUUUAAUGUUUGAUGUUCUAACGUUGGCCCGUAAUCCGGGUUGCGGACAGUGUCUGGUGGGUAGUUUGACUGGGGCGGUCUCCUCCUAAAGAGUAACGGAGGAGCACGAAGGUUGGCUAAUCCUGGUCGGACAUCAGGAGGUUAGUGCAAUGGCAUAAGCCAGCUUGACUGCGAGCGUGACGGCGCGAGCAGGUGCGAAAGCAGGUCAUAGUGAUCCGGUGGUUCUGAAUGGAAGGGCCAUCGCUCAACGGAUAAAAGGUACUCCGGGGAUAACAGGCUGAUACCGCCCAAGAGUUCAUAUCGACGGCGGUGUUUGGCACCUCGAUGUCGGCUCAUCACAUCCUGGGGCUGAAGUAGGUCCCAAGGGUAUGGCUGUUCGCCAUUUAAAGUGGUACGCGAGCUGGGUUUAGAACGUCGUGAGACAGUUCGGUCCCUAUCUGCCGUGGGCGCUGGAGAACUGAGGGGGGCUGCUCCUA
rnacentral:rRNA from 1 species